rnacentral:misc_RNA from 1 species
UCUCCGUAGGUGAACCAGCGGAGGGAUCAUUACAGAGUUUUCACAACUCCCAACCCUUGCGAACCGUUCCCAUUCUGCUCUCGUUGCUUCCGGCGGGCGGGACGGGGGGGCGCGAAACGGCCUCCCCCCCCCGCCCGCCCGGGUCUGCGUGCCCUACGAACCGUUUUAUAUCAAACACCAGCAAACCUCUGAGAAAACAAACAAAUUAAUCAAAAAUUUCAACAAAAGACCUCUUAGCUCUGGCAUCGACGAAGAACGCAGCAGCACGCAAGAGCACAC